AACGAACGCUGGCGGCAUGCCUAACACAUGCAAGUCGAACGAGACCUUCGGGUCUAGUGGCGCACGGGUGCGUAACGCGUGGGAACCUGCCCUUAGGUUCGGAAUAACUCCCCGAAAGGGGUGCUAAUACCGGUUAAUGUCUUCGGACCAAAGAUUUAUCGCCUUUGGAUGGGCCCGCGUUGGAUUAGCUAGUUGGUAGGGUAAAAGCCUACCAAGGCGACGAUCCAUAGCUGGUCUGAGAGGAUGAUCAGCCACACUGGGACUGAGACACGGCCCAGACUCCUACGGGAGGCAGCAGUGGGGAAUAUUAGACAAUGGACGAAAGCCUGAUCCAGCAAUGCCGCGUGAGUGAUGAAGGCCUUAGGGUUGUAAAGCUCUUUUACCCGGGAUGAUAAUGACAGUACCGGGAGAAUAAGCUCCGGCUAACUCCGUG
rnacentral:rRNA from 1 species